CUUGAUCUUGAUAUCCUACGUGGAUAACUGUGGUAAUUCUAGAGCUAAUACAUGCACCAAAGCUCCGAAUUUUUGACGAGCGCAUCUAUUAGAUUAAAACCAAUCGGGUUUCGGCCCGUUUGUUGGUGACUCUGAAUAACUAUGGCUGAUCGCAUGGUCACGAACCGGCGACGUGUCUAUCAAGUGUCUGCCUUAUCAACUUUCGAUGGUAGUUUAUGUGCCUACCAUGGUUGUAACGGGUAACGGAGAAUAAGGGUUCGACUCCGGAGAGGGAGCCUGAGAAACGGCUACCACAUCCAAGGAAGGCAGCAGGCGCGCAAAUUACCCACUCUCGGCAUGAGGAGGUAGUGACGAAAAAUAACGAGACCGUUCUCUAUGAGGCCGGUUAUCGGAAUGGGUACAAUUUAAACCCGUUAACGAGGAUCUAUGAGAGGGCAAGUCUGGUGCCAGCAGCCGCGGUAAUUCCAGCUCUCAAAGUGUAUAUCGUCAUUGCUGCGGUUAAAAAGCUCGUAGUUGGAUCUGCGCCUCAGGACCUGGUCCGCCCACUGGGUGAGAACUGGGCUCCUGGGCUAGUUCUGCUGGUUUUCCCUACGUUGCCUUCAUCGGUAGCGUAGGGUGGCUAGCGAGUUUACUUUGAAAAAAUUAGAGUGCUUCACGCGGGCUUAUGUCUGAAUACUCGUGCAUGGAAUAAUAGAAUAGGAUCUCGGCUCUAUUUUGUUGGUUUUCUGAUCUGAGAUAAUGGUUAAGAGGGACGGACGGGGGCAUUCGUAUCGCUGCGUGAGAGGUGAAAUUCUUGGACCGUAGCGAGACGUCCGACUGCGAAAGCAUUUGCCAAGAAUGUCUUCAUUAAUCAAGAACGAAAG
rnacentral:rRNA from 2 species